rnacentral:ncRNA from 2 species
CUGUCAUGACAGGGGCGCCUUUACGGCUGAGAUAUCCUUAUGGAUGGUCCCUUAUGACCUGAUCUAGUUAAUGCUAGCGUAGGGAGUCAUAUCUAAGAAAGA